UUGGAGCUCUGGUGGCUGUUGUGAGGAGGAGGAGGAGAAACGCAGGUGGGAAAGGAGACUACACCCCUGCUCCAGGCAGGGACAGCUCCCAGAGCUCUGAUGUGUCUCUCCCAGAUUGUAAAGCAUGAAGACAGCUGCCUGGAGUGGACUGAGUGACAGACGAUGUGUUCAGGUCUCUCCUGUGACAUCCAGAGCCCUCAGUUCUCUUUAGACACCAGUGUCUGAUGUUCCCUGUGAUUCUAUGGCUUCAGUGUGAAGAACUGUGGAGCCCAGCCUGCCCUGCACUUCAGGACCCUGUCCCUGCACUGCCUGCUUUCCCUUCCACAGCCAAGGUUGGCUAGUCCAGCCUGUGGGGUGGGGGGUGGGGACAUUUGCAUCCUGUCACUCUGUGCUUUACUGAGCAUUAUUAACUCCUCACUUCCUCACUGAGAAUAAGACUCUAAGUGUGAACUUGAUUGUUCAUAUCCUUGACCCAAGUGUUGAUAGCUUUUUAUUUUACUGGAUUGAAUACUUAGAGGU